AGAGCGAACGCUGGCGGCAGGCUUAACACAUGCAAGUCGAGCGCCGUAGCAAUACGGAGCGGCAGACGGGUGAGUAACACGUGGGAACGUACCUUUUGGUUCGGAACAACCCAGGGAAACUUGGGCUAAUACCGGAUAAGUCCGUAAGGAGAAAGAUUUAUCGCCAAAAGAUCGGCCCGCGUCUGAUUAGCUAGUUGGUGAGGUAAUGGCUCACCAAGGCGACGAUCAGUAGCUGGUCUGAGAGGAUGACCAGCCACAUUGGGACUGAGACACGGCCCAAACUCCUACGGGAGGCAGCAGUGGGGAAUAUUGGACAAUGGGCGCAAGCCUGAUCCAGCCAUGCCGCGUGAGUGAUGAAGGCCUUAGGGUUGUAAAGCUCUUUCGACGGGGAAGAUAAUGACGGUACCCGUAGAAGAAGCCCCGGCUAACUUCGUGCCAGCAGCCGC
rnacentral:rRNA from 1 species